UUCUACAAGCCCAGGAGAGAUGCGUCAGAAGGAAUCAAGCCUACCAACAUGUUGAUCUUAGACUUCCGGCCUCCAGAGCUGCAAGGGAAUAAAUUUCUGUUGGUUAAGCCCCCCAGUCUGUGGUAUGUCGUUAUGGCAGCUGGAGAAGAGCAAUAGACACAGAGAUGAUUUAAUAGCCAUCUUAUUAGAGACACCUCGGGAAAUUUCAGAUCACCCACUCAGAGAACUGGAGCUGAUCGAGGGGACCGUCUUCCGAGUCUUCUGAGUCCCUCCUCCUUGGGAGGACUUCUCCUUUGUGCUCUUGUAUUUAAUCGUCCUAUUAACCCUGUGAAUUUGGGAUUACAAAUUCCAAUUUAUUGACGAGGAAACCGAAGCCCGGAGGCUUAUGUGACUUGACCCAAGCCACCCUGCUAAUUUCAGCAGAACCAGGAGUUCUAGAGGUUGAGUUGCGUAAAUGCUCUGCUUGGGACCAGCCCGGCCAACAUAACUUGAGGCUUGCCACCAGCUGCCAAGGUGACCUGCUGGAAGAGCAAUUUGGAAAAAAUAAAGAAGGUGAGGCACAAAGAAGAAUUUCAAAGCCUUUCCCUAAUCAGGACGAAUGGCUGCGAGCCUGAGGUGUGCGCAGAUAGCCUGCCACAUCUCAGAACGCAGCUCUUGCCACAAGCCAAUGCCUCGCUGGCUCUGAAAUUUAUGCUGGAAUUUAGACAGAGAACACAAAUCAUCGUAAUCUCCCGAUGAAAGAUCACUGUCUCUGCAAAUGCAUUACCUGCUUGGAAAGCGACAUGUUAAAAAAUACCGAUAAUAUAUGGGCACAGGGAGAGCGAUUUCCAUGCCUGGGCUCCUCCAGCUAAAAUACGCACACCUGCACAAGAGGCGGCAGAUGACAAAGUAAGUCACCGGGGCCCAGGAGCAGCUUCUGUGUCGAGCUGUGGCUCUGACACUCCAAACAAAAGACCCUGCAAGCCUAUGGAGCAGUCUCCCCCCACCACCUCCAACAUGGGGCGCCUUGGAUGCCGGAGGCCCGAGUGGGGGGCGUGUGAUUCCAUCCUUCCCACCCCCAGUCAGGAUGCCCUUCGUCUUAUCUGCAGGAGAGAGACGUGGGAGGAGGAACUGGAGCAACUGAUGGGCCUCAGAGCUGGAGGAAGCUUCCAGAAUGAGUUAGAGGGACCACCCCGUUCACUUCCCUCACUCUCACCCCUCCCAAGUGCUUGAAAUGAAAAAGAGCCUAAGGAGUACCGUCCGCGGAGAGGCCAGCUUGGAAGAACCUGUGUUUGUGGCAAAGGCGGAUGGUGGUCAGAAGACGGCCUCGUGGGGUCUCUGCCAGGCCUGUUUGGAGGACCGGGCGGCUGAGGGACUGGAGUGCAGGGCUGCCGGAUCCGUGUCUGCUGGAUCGGUCUGGCCUCUCCAAGUGCGGUUCGGCCUCGCGAAGCUGUGCAACAGGUCUGGUCCCAUUUCAUCUGGCUUUUUCCUCCCGUGGAAUGAUAAGCUCUUCAAACAGACAUUCCUUCCUUGUGCCCGUAAGACAAGGGAAUGGUAAACACAAGAUUCAGGAUGAUGGUUGGUAACCAGGAUGAUGAGAUGUGAGGUCACCAGAUGGUUUGCUGUAGAUUGUUUGCUUUUGUUUUGGUCAGUGGGAUUAUGAGUGCUCAUGACAUUGCAAAAAAAUUACUUAACCUAAAGAAAUAAAUAAGUAAAUAAGCCACCCUAUAUCUGAGCAAUGAUGACAGUGAGUCAUUAAGUGAAGAUUAUGAUUGAUACAAUUCUGCUUCUCUGAGAUUAGAAAAAAAAAAGUCAUGUACUUGGGGGAGGGGAUGAGAAAAAGCCACAUGCCUGAGAGAGGAGUGUGUGAGGUAAGGGAUGGGGCUCAGGUGAGAGGUAGGGGAGAGAGCUAUGUAGGAUCUCAUAGGGCCUGUUAAUGACUUGGAUUUAACGGGGUAGUAUGAUGACAUGGUCUUUAUAUUUCAAAGGUCUCAUUCUGGCUGCAUCGUGGGUAUUUUAUUAGUGGUGGUCAGAGAGAAUAUGGGGAAGGCUGGUUGGGAGGCUGUAUCGACUGUAGGUAAGAGGUGAUGGUAGCAUGGAUUAAGAUGAGAUAAUGAGAGAAGCAGGUGAAUUUAAAUAACAGUAAGUAAAAACUGAUAAUUUUAGAUAGAAUAUGGGGCAUGAGAGUCAAUGAUGAUGCCUCCAUUUUAUUUGUGAAGGAGGUGGUUGGUGGGCUAUUUACUGAGAAGAAAGUGAGUUUAGUUUUGACUAUGUUGGAUUUGGAUGCUUUUGAGAUAUGCCAGUGGGCAGCUGGAUAUUGGGCUCCAUAACUUCCAUGGGAUCUGAGUUAGCUGAGGAUGUACAAGGGGGUCAUGGAUAUGUGGGUGGGGAUUAAAAUUGUGGAAGUUGAUAAGAUUAUCUAGAAAGAAACAGUGUAGUGAGAAGAAAGCUGUUGUAAAGACAAAAUUUAAGUAGACAAUUAAAUUAAAGCAGGCCACACAUAUCCUAUGAUGAAAGUGUAUCAUGAAUCAAAGAUUAUGAUUAAUCUAGUUUAAAAAAAUCAGGGUCUAAGAAACAAAACAUAUGAAUAUAUGGGAGGGGAGAAAAAAGAGAGAAUGAAACAAACCAUAAGAUACUCUUUACCAUAGAGAACAAACUGAGGGUUGAUGGAGGGAUUGGGUGGGGGUUGGGCGAGAUGGGUGAUGAAUGACAGGUAUCAAGGAGGGUACUUGUCAUGAUGAGCACUGGGUAUUGUAUGUAAAUGAUGAAUCACUGAAUUCUAUUCCUGAAGCCAAUAUUGCAUUGUAUGUUAACUAACUAGAAUUUAAAUAAAAAAUUGAAAAAAAAAUCAAGGUCUGGCAUUUGGAGAGAUCUUGACUUUUCCAGGAGGGAAAGAAAGCCAGUCGGCCUAGGGUACAGAGGGGUGUGGGUGGUGGGAGGUGAGGUGGGCUGCGGAAGGAGAUAGGGGAUAGAUCAUCCAGCAUGUCAUAGAGCAUGUUCAGGAUUUGGUCUUUAUUCUGGAAAUAUUAAGAAAGAUUUAAAGCUUUAAAAUUUUUGUUUCAACUUAACGUUUUUCAUUAUUUAUGUUUGCUUUUAAAUCAACCUUAUUAAGGUAUAUUAUAAUUUACAUACCAUAACAUUUUGUAUUUUAUUAUUUAUUUAUUUGCACCCAUUUUACAUGUAGAUUUCACAGGUAUAUAUUCCCAUGUAACCACUACUGCAAUCAAGAUAUAGAACAUUUCCAUCACUGUCUACCCUGCCGAUUUCUCUUGUGCACCAUUUGGAAUCACGGAUGCCCUUCCCCCAUGCUAACCCCAGGCUUUGCUAUUAUGUAGAAAGUUGCUAUUAAUAUUCAUGUAUGUCUUCACGUGAACACAUGCUUUCAUUUAUCUUGGAUACAUAUCUACGACUGACAUUUCUGGGUGCUAAGGUAAAUGUAAACUUUACAAGGAACUGCCAAGAGUUUGCCAAAGUAGUUACAUCGUUUUCCGCUUCCAUCAGCAACCUAUGAGAUUUUCAGUUGCCACAUGUCUUUGCCAAUACUUGAUAUUGUCCAUCUUCUGAAUUUUAGCCUUUCUAUUUGGUAUGACAUGGCAUAGGUCAACGGUUUUACUUUGUAUAGCUCUGAUGACUAAUACUGUUAGGUGUCUUCUGGGAAGUGUCUGCUCAACUAUUCCGUCCAUUAUUUAUUUCAUUGACGUCUCUGUCUUUUACUGAGUCAUAGAAGUUCCAUAUGUAUUCUGCACAAGAGUCUUCUGUCAUGUAUAUCUUUAGUUUUCUGCCAAUCUGUGGAUAGUAUCUUUUCGAUUUUCAAACUUUUUAACAGGGUUCACUUAAGAACAGAAAUUUGUAAAUUUGAUGAAAUUCGAUUAAGGUAUUUUCCUAGAAGUUUUGUAGUUUCAGCUUUUACACUUAGCUUUAUGACACAUGUUGAGUUAAUAUUUGUGAGUGGUGUGAGGUCAGGGUUGAGGUUCAUUAAAAAAAAAAAAAGGAUAUUUAGUUGUUCUAGCACCACUGUUGAGAAAACUAUCCUUUCCCACUCAAUUAUAUUUCUAUCUGUGUCAAAAAUUAAUUAGCCAUAUAUGGAUGGAUCUAUUUCUGCAUUCUUUAUUCUGUACCAGUGAUCCAUAUAUAUAGAAAUAUGAUAGAUAACACUGUUUAGAUUACUGUGGCUUUAUAAGUCUUGAAAUCAGUUAGUGUAAG